CAAGGAUGAAACCUAGAAAGGAACCAGGCUCCUGGAUGCAAGUCUUGGGAGCUGUGCCAGGUGGAUAUUGUAAGAGUUCUGUUAACGUCACAUUUGUUAGUCAAAAUAUUCAGUUGUUCAGAAGACCAGUGGGUCGAAAAUAUUCCUACCCCCUGCAGUAAUUGUAAAAGUCAGUUGGCUUUUCAUACUGAAUUGUUAGGAGGUUCAGAGAAAAAUGAAAAAGCAAAAAUCCUGAAUGUUAAAAUCUGUUAUAUCAUAGUUUACGUAUGUAGGGAACCUGAUAGGUAGAAUAAUGAUAUGAUAAUGGCAGUUGUGUCGAACGUAAAUGAAAUGGAACUUAGUCUAACAGAGGUUAGAUUGAAAUAAUUAGUAAUGAAAAAGGGACAGUAGUGGUAUUCCUUGACCGUGUGAUACUCCAUCCCAACCCACCUACCAAGACAUGGUGACUGAUGUAGAAGAGGGGAUUCGCAGACAAAAACAGCAAUACAACAUGAUGUGCCAGCAGACUAAACAGGAGAUCGCUGACAUCCAUCAAGACAGACUUCUCCAUGACAUGGAACUAAACAGGUGGGAAAUCAAACUGAGAUUCUUGUCAGUUUGCCAAAAACGAAUUUAUGACUGAAAUGCCACUUUCGUUAGUUUUCUUUAUGUCCUGAGUGAAGGAAGAGAUUUCAAGCAACCCCGUCAAGCUGAAGAUGGCCAGCGAGAGAAUAUUUAUUAAAAGUGUAACUGUAUUCUACACUGUAUAGUUACAUAAGGGCUGUGCUAUAACCCACAUUUGUUGCAUAAACUAAGCAACAGUGAUUUUUGAGAACACUAACAUCAUGUGUAAUAUAGUGUCUUUCGUCUUGGGGAUUAGGUGUUUGACCGUGUGUUUUGCUGUGUUCAGGACCAACCUCUUUAUGCCAGCGAACCAAUAGGGAACUAUUGGAAAGAGUCAGCAGAGGUGAAGAACACAGAGACCAACCCCUCUGAAUUUCCAGACAACAGAAAGACAGCUGAACAGUGAUUACGAGACAUUGGACUGUCUCUCUCUAGAGAAAAUGAUGUCAGUUUAUUGUGCUAGAUCACUUCUAUUUUUUUUACAGUAGAUUUAAUUCUAUUAAAUUCUAUUAAAUCUAUUACAUUUGUUAUAGUAGUUUUUAAGUCAUUCUUUUAUAUGUUUUGCAGUAGUUUUUCUAUUAUUUCCCGCUAGUCAGUUCCCUUUCUCAGCAGCAAAACACAGCAUCUGUCUGUCUAUGUUUGCUUCCAUGUGUGUGUGUGUGUGGGUGUGCGUGUGAGUCUGUGUGUGUGUGUGGGUGGGUUUGUGUGUGCGUGUGUGGGUGGGUGUGUUUGCAUUCAUGCAAAUGUGUGUGGGGCCAGAGCAAAACCAGUGUGUUUUAUGACAGGUUCACACCGUGCCUGAGGGAAGUCAUCAAGCCUCUUUACAGGAACACAUUAUUUCAAAGAGAGUCACAGCGGAGGAGAGGCAGAAAAUGACUGUUUUUCACAGCUGAAACACAGAAUGUGUAAAAACACUGGUUUGUGACAUGUUGUGUUAAGAAUGUGAACUGUCUCUGUCCUGUAUUCUGAGGAGUUCAGCCGUUUUUUUCUGCUUCUUUCCACAGGAUGUGUUGUCUGCCCGGUAAGAAAUCAAUAACUAUGUUUUGACAAGUUUAUACUCCCCAGUGUUUUCUGUUUAUGUUUCAGAAUCCCUAGAACACACAUACACAC
rnacentral:lncRNA from 1 species